AACGAACGCUGGCGGCAUGCCUAACACAUGCAAGUCGAACGAGACCUUCGGGUCUAGUGGCGCACGGGUGCGUAACGCGUGGGAACCUGCCCUUAGGUUCGGAAUAACUCCCCGAAAGGGGUGCUAAUACCGGAUAAUGUCUUCGGACCAAAGAUUUAUCGCCUUUGGAUGGGCCCGCGUUGGAUUAGCUAGUUGGUAGGGUAAAAGCCUACCAAGGCGACGAUCCAUAGCUGGUCUGAGAGGAUGAUCAGCCACACUGAGACUGAGACACGGCCCAGACUCCUACGGGAGGCAGCAGCGGGGAAUAUUGGACAAUGGGCGAAAGCCUGAUCCAGCAAUGCCGCGUGAGUGAUGAAGGCCUUAGGGUUGUAAAGCUCUUUUACCCGGGAUGAUAAUGACAGUACCGGGAGAAUAAGCUCCGGCUAACUCCGUG
rnacentral:rRNA from 1 species